rnacentral:lncRNA from 10 species
UGGAAAAAGGUUCCUAUGGAAAAUGCUUUCCUGAAGAGCACAUGCUUUGAAGGUGGCCAGACUUGGGUGGAAACUGAAACUCUGCUAGUGACUAGAUGUGUAAUUCAGGGAACAUUCCUUCACUCUUUCAGCUUCAGUUUCCUUAUCUUUAAAAGGAAAUGAUCAUAAUAGCACUUAUGCUGCUGUGAGAUUUAAAUGAGAUAAUGUGUCCACAGUACUCAGUACAGUGCCGGACACACAGUAAGCACUCAAACAAUGGUAAUGAUUAUUAUAAUGUAUUUUAAAAUAUGACACUAUAUUCAAACAUACCAUUAUAAUAUGUCAAAUGGGAAUGUGGACACAAUAUAUGAGACAACCUGUUCACAACUGUUUAAUGAGGAGGUUAUCCAACAUUAGGAAUGAUUUGAUCCUUCAAUAAAAAAUCAAUGUGUGAAGGUUCCUAGGCAUAAAAGAAAGUUCAGAAGGAUAUGUAGGAAAUACUGUUGUCUCU